rnacentral:tRNA from 1 species
AACAAGUUAGGAUAAAUUUUAGUCUGUUAGGUUCAUACCCUAAGGGUGUUCUUGUUGU